rnacentral:rRNA from 1 species
AGAGUUUGAUCCUGGCUCAGAUUGGACGCUGGCGGCAUGCCUUACACAUGCAAGUCGAACGGCAGCACGAGAGCUUGCUCUUGGUGGCGAGUGGCGAACGGGUGAGUAAUAUAUCGGAACGUACCCUAGAGUGGGGGAUAACGUAGCGAAAGUUACGCUAAUACCGCAUACGAUCUACGGAUGAAAGUGGGGGAUCGCAAGACCUCAUGCUCAUGGAGCGGCCGAUAUCUGAUUAGCUAGUUGGUGGGGUAAAAGCUCACCAAGGCGACGAUCAGUAGCUGGUCUGAGAGGACGACCAGCCACACUGGAACUGAGACACGGUCCAGACUCCUACGGGAGGCAGCAGUGGGGAAUUUUGGACAAUGGGCGCAAGCCUGAUCCAGCAAUGCCGCGUGAGUGAAGAAGGCCUUCGGGUUGUAAAGCUCUUUUGUCAGGGAAGAAACGGUGGACUCUAAUACAGAUCACUAAUGACGGUACCUGAAGAAUAAGCACCGGCUAACUACGUGCCAGCAGCCGCGGUAAUACGUAGGGUGCAAGCGUUAAUCGGAAUUACUGGGCGUAAAGCGUGCGCAGGCGGUUGUGCAAGACAGAUGUGAAAUCCCCGGGCUCAACCUGGGAAUUGCAUUUGUGACUGCACGGCUAGAGUGUGUCAGAGGGGGGUAGAAUUCCACGUGUAGCAGUGAAAUGCGUAGAGAUGUGGAGGAAUACCGAUGGCGAAGGCAGCCCCCUGGGAUAACACUGACGCUCAUGCACGAAAGCGUGGGGAGCAAACAGGAUUAGAUACCCUGGUAGUCCACGCCCUAAACGAUGUCUACUAGUUGUCGGGUCUUAAUUGACUUGGUAACGCAGCUAACGCGUGAAGUAGACCGCCUGGGGAGUACGGUCGCAAGAUUAAAACUCGAAGGAAUUGACGGGGACCCGCACAAGCGGUGGAUGAUGUGGAUUAAUUCGAUGCAACGCGAAAAACCUUACCUACCCUUGACAUGUCUGGAAUCCUUGAGAGAUCAGGGAGUGCUCGAAAGAGAAUCAGAACACAGGUGCUGCAUGGCUGUCGUCAGCUCGUGUCGUGAGAUGUUGGGUUAAGUCCCGCAACGAGCGCAACCCUUGUCAUUAGUUGCUACGAAAGGGCACUCUAAUGAGACUGCCGGUGACAAACCGGAGGAAGGUGGGGAUGACGUCAAGUCCUCAUGGCCCUUAUGGGUAGGGCUUCACACGUCAUACAAUGGUACAUACAGAGGGCCGCCAACCCGCGAGGGGGAGCUAAUCCCAGAAAGUGUAUCGUAGUCCGGAUUGUAGUCUGCAACUCGACUACAUGAAGUUGGAAUCGCUAGUAAUCGCGGAUCAGCAUGUCGCGGUGAAUACGUUCCCGGGUCUUGUACACACCGCCCGUCACACCAUGGGAGCGGGUUUCACCAGAAGUGGGUAGCCUAACCGCAAGGAGGGCGCUCACCACGGUGGGAUUCGUGACUGGGGUGAAGUCGUAACAAGGUA